UACGUAGGGUGCAAGCGUUGUCCGGAAUUAUUGGGCGUAAAGAGCUCGUAGGCGGUCUGUCGCGUCGGCUGUGAAAUCCCGGAGCUCAACUCCGGGUCUGCAGUCGAUACGGGCAAACUGGAGUACUGCAGGGGAGACUGGAAUUCCUGGUGUAGCAGUGAAAUGCGUAGAUAUCAGGAGGAACACCAGUGGCGUAAGCGGCUAUCUGGACCGACAUUGACGCUGAGGCACGAAAGCGUGGGGAUCAAACAGG
rnacentral:rRNA from 1 species